rnacentral:rRNA from 1 species
GACGAACGCUGGCGGCGUGCUUAACACAUGCAAGUCGAACGGAAAGGCCCUGCUUUUGUGGGGUGCUCGAGUGGCGAACGGGUGAGUAACACGUGAGUAACCUGCCCUUGACUUUGGGAUAACUUCAGGAAACUGGGGCUAAUACCGGAUAGGAGCUCCUGCUGCAUGGUGGGGGUUGGAAAGUUUCGGCGGUUGGGGAUGGACUCGCGGCUUAUCAGCUUGUUGGUGGGGUAGUGGCUUACCAAGGCUUUGACGGGUAGCCGGCAUGAGAGGGUGACCGGCCACAUGGGGACUGAGAGACGGACCAGACUGCUACGGGAGGCAGCAGUGGGGAAUAUGGCACAAUGGGCGGAAGCCUGAUGCAGCAACGCCGCGUGCGGGAUGACGGCCUUCGGGUUGUAAACCGCUUUCGACUGUGACGAAGCGUGAGUGACGGUAAUGGGUAAAGAAGCACCGGCUAACUACGUG